AUUAUUUCUGGAGAUUUAAGUCAUCUGUUUAUCCACAGAACAGAUAAAAUACAGGGAGCAGCAGUUCAUAUUUCCCUACAUAACUUCCCACCAACUGUGCCUCAGCCUUGUUCCCAGUGAGGUUUUACCUGUAGCGGUAAGGGGGUAAUUCAGUUCCCAUGUCCAUUUAACCCUUCAUCUCU
rnacentral:sRNA from 1 species